GGCGAGGGCGAAGCGGGGACAGCGCUGGCUGCCGGGAGGGGGCAGGUCCCUCCUGCCUGUUUGCCUGCCUCUUACCCCGCUUUAUUGUGUUACCUGCGUGAAAUCGUCUAAAUUCUCGCAAAACCCGCGUGUUUUGUGUGUGUGCGCGCUGUGGCGAGGGGCCGGGCCCUAACCGUGUGCGUGUGUAUGUGUGUUACAGGGCAGACGUGACAGUUACCGACCUUGAGGAGCUGCAGGAGCUGUUGAUGGUUAAUAUAGAGAACAACAAACAUCUGGUCACAGGGUCAGUCCGAGCCAAGGGGUGAAGAUGUAACAGAAUUUCAGCCUCCUCCAGAUUAUAUACUAAUGGCUGAUUGUAUUUACUAUGAGGAGGUAAAUGAGGACUUGGCAAAACCCCUGUAGAAAAUUUCCUUGGGAAGGGCAUGAGUUCAGUCUGAGAAGUGUUCACAUCACUAUUGUGCUUGCAUCUUGAUCCCUGUGGUUAGAAGAAUACAUAGAACAAGUCUGGAAAAGGCAUUUUUAAGAGAUUCAAAGUCAUUGGAAAUUCAAACGGAGACUUUGCUUAAAAAAAAAGAAAAUAAACAAUAUUUGUGCCUUCCCCUUUUUUUAACACUGGGAGUGAAGUGUGAAGGAAAACAUUGUGACUGGUAGUUGUGAACUGUUUAAAGUAUUGGUAAGUGAAGUUAAAAAGUGCUGCAUCUGCACUGUUGGGUUCUCCUCAUGUUUCCCUUGGGAAGGCAAAAGGAGACAUCAUGCUCCAGCUAAGCGGCUGUUGUAGUCUGCUCCAUCUCCUUAGCUGGAGCAAUAUAGGAUGUGCAUAGAGAGCUAACAGAACUUGCAAGAAAAGGGAAAAGACCUGAAAACCCCAAUGUCCCAGUGCCCUUUCAGUGGUGUUACUACUGGCUCUCUGCACGUUGGUCCCAUUUCUGUAAUGUAGGGCUGGAUCUGAGCCAUGUUUCAAGAACAGUUGAGAAAACUUCCACUAUUGAAACAUGUCAAGAAAUAGGCAUUGUUGUGUGCCUUGAGGAAAUAACCCACUCGGCAGUGUGGGAUGGUUUUGGCUUUCAUGCUAGUUCAGUUCUCUUGGUCAGUCUGUGAAACUCCUCCUGUGCAGUCUCCCUUUCUCCUCUGCUUUUCAGCUUGCCCCCAUGUUCUUUUUGUCCCAGUUAAAGUACUAAAAAUAACUCCCUGAAAAGCAAAACUGGAAAGUUCUCUCUUGGGUGAACACUUUCUCUAGUUAGAGACAGUAAAAUGAACUUGAAAUCUAAGUGUGAAAUACUUAACCUCGUUUGGGCAGUCAUUAGAACCAUUACUGAAGACGCUGAAAGAUCUUACUGGCCCUGAUACGUGUGUCUUGUGCUGUUACGAACAGAGGACUAUGGGAAAGAAUCCUGAAAUUGAGAGAAAAUACUUUGAGCUGCUUCAGUUGGACUUCGAGCUGGAAAAAAUUCCCCUGGAUAAGCACGAUGAGGAGUAUCGCAGCGAAGACAUUCACAUCAUGAAUAUCCACAGGAAGCAAACUAAUAUUCCAUCAUGAGAUCUUUGACCACAGUAUCUGUCUCUGGCAGCUGGUAGAGCUCUGGAGAAGAGGGUAUAGAAUAACGCCACAAAGAGACUGUCUCCAGUGUGGUUUGUGACUCAUCUACUAAAAACGGCUUCUUGGUGGUGGACUUGGCAUGAGACAGCAGAAGAAGUGGGCUUACUAGACUAGACCCACUGAUAGUGCCUUCCAAGAGGACAGAUGUGAGCUGCUCAUGUCUGCAGGCUGAGGAAGGCGGAAACAGAAGCAGGGCUUCACCCAGAGCGGCGCUGGGCGUGUGUUCUGGUUACCUCUGCUUGUUGGAGCAGCGGGUGGCUUACCAGGAGCUCACGAAGCGGAUCCAAGGACACUGCUUAAGUCACCGCAAGGAGGAAACUCUCGAGCAGGCUCAGUCACACAGCCAGUCAAUAAACCUUUUGCACUUGAAAUGGG